CACGUAGGGGCGAGCGUUGUCCGGAAUUACUGGGCGUAAAGGGCGCGCAGGCUGUUAUGCGAGUCUGCUGUGAAAUGUACCGGCUCAACCGGUGCCUUGCGGCGGAUACUGCAUAGCUGGAGUACUGGAGAGGGAAGUGGAAUUCCCGGUGUAGCGGUGAAAUGCAUAGAUAUCACGAGGAACUCCGAUUGCGCAGGCAGCUUACUAAACUACUACUGACGCUCAGGCACGAAGGCGUGGGGAUCAAACAGGAUUA
rnacentral:rRNA from 1 species